rnacentral:misc_RNA from 1 species
UUUUCUUUAUCUCCUUUCUCUUCCUCCCCUUUUUCCUUUUUCUCUCUUUGGCCUUGUUUGUAACCUGUUAUUGCACUGUCUCUUUGAGUGUUUUGUGCUUCUUUUUUUCCCCUUCUUGAUUCUGGUCCAUUUUUGAGGAUAUCUGUUACUUCCACUUAUUUUCUGCUACUUUUUAUUUGGUUUUUCUUGUCCAUGUUUCUUUAUAAGGGACACCUUUUUAACUGUCAUUGUUAUUUUCAUGUCUUGAUAACAUGGUUCUUCUUUUGGUGGUUCCCCGUCAUCCAUGAUUUCGUCUCCUUAUAUCAACUGUUAUAUUGAAAUUUCGUCAGUGCCGGUAACUGGGUAUUCGUUCUUGUACUCUUUCCUGAUCACCAAUAAAUGGGUUACUGCUCAUUUCUGAGUUCUGACAAUCCUUCUUCUCCAGUUUUUAGUUAUUCCUUUUGCUUCUUUUUUCAUGUAUAUCUUAUUGUCUUUUUAUUUUCCAGCACUCGAGCUUUUCUUUCAUUCAACCUUUAGAUUUUAUUCAUCUACCAGAUUUUUCUUUCUGCAGAUCAUGUUUGCUGCUUCUUUUAUCACUUCUUCCUCUGAUUUUUCUUUUUGUUACUUGCGAUUAUGUUUGCUAGUACGAUCACAACUCCAUAUCUUUCCACCAGCAAAAUUGCUUUCUUGAUUGCUGGAUCUUAUUAGAUUAAUUGUCAUCUCUGGCCUCUGGGUAUUGGGUUCACCAUUAUAUCCGCUGUUUCUUUCCUACAGACUUCUUUCUCUAUAUUUUUUUCAGUGUACCAAAACUAGGCUUUUGCUGAAUCUUUUAUCUUUUGGUGAUCUAGUGCUGCAGGCAGAGUAUCUUGAUGAAAACAAAUCAUUGAUUUUGAAGAUUGUUGACAGCCAGAAUUCGGGGAAACUCAGUGAGUGUGCAGAGAAUCAAGCAAGGCUACAGCGAAACCUCAUGUAUUUGGCUGCAAUUGCUGAUUCUCAACCCCAACCUCCUACCAUGCAUGCCCAGUUCCCUUCCAGCAGCAUUAUGCAGCCAGGAGCACCCUACAUGCAGCACCAACAAGCUCAACAAAUGACACCACAAUCCCUGAUGGCUGCACGAUCUUCCAUGCUAUACACUCAACAACAGUUUGCAGCACUGCAACAACAGCAAGCCUUGCACAGCCAGCUUGGCUUGAGCUCUGGUGGAAGCCCAGGACUUCAUAUGCUGCAGAGUGAGGCCGGCACUGCAGGAGGCAGCGGAGGGCUUGGGGCAGGAGGGUUUCCUGAUUUUGGAAGAGAUGCUGGAGGCAGAGGAAUGGCAUGUGGAAGUAAGCAAGAUAUUGGGAGUGCAGUGCCCACUGAAGGGCGAGGAGGCAACUCUGGAGGCGGCGGCAGUGACGGAGGUGAAACUCUUUACUUAAAAUCGGCUGAUGAUGGGAAUUGAGAGGAGAGAUGAUGAACCUGCUGGUUUGUUAACAAACCAACUUAGGAGAGUUAGUCAGGAGGUUGAUUUAGAAAAAGAAAAUGGGAAGGACUUGUUUGGAAAACUUGUAUGAUGCAAACCAAAAAAAGAAGGCCAGGACCUGAUCCCCCAAACCUUUGUCUUGGUUGUUUUAAUAUGGUUAGACUAUGAAUCUUGUGCUAGUGUAUCAUGUAAAUUUUAGGUAAUAUUCUGCUUUGCUUUGUUCUUGAUGUCAAUCUUGUGCUUGAACCAUCUUUCAGCUAGACUUUGCAUUUGCUGGCCAUGGAAAAAUUUGGAAGGUAUAUAUUUACUUGAGCUAUUAA